UAUGGGCUAAUACAUGCGCACAUGCCUCUUCCCUCGUGGAAGGGUAGUGUUUAUUAGAUACAGAACCAACCCACCUUCGGGUGGUCCUCAGGUGAUUCAUAGUAACCGAACGGAUCGCAUUAUGGCCUUUUGGUCGGCGAUGGAUCAUUCAAGUUUCUGACCUAUCAGCUUUCGACGGUACUGUAUUGGACUACCGUGGCAGUGACGGGUAACGGGGAAUUAGGGUUCGAUUCCGGAGAGGGAGCCUGAGAAACGGCUACCACAUCUAAGGAAGGCAGCAGGCGCGCAAAUUACCCAAUCCUGACUCAGGGAGGUAGUGACAAGAAAUAACAACACUGGAAAUUAUAUUUCUAGUGAUUGGAAUGAUGGGAAUCCAAACCCCUUUCAGAGUAACAAUUGGAGGGCAAGUCUGGUGCCAGCAGCCGCGGUAAUUCCAGCUCCAAUAGCGUAUAUUAAAGUUGUUGCAGUUAAAAAGCUCGUAGUUGGAUAUCUGCUGGAAGCAGCCAGUCCGCCCUUUGUGGGUGUGCACUUGGUGAAUUCUGGCAUCCUCCUGAUUGGUGUUAUCAUCACUUCAUUGUGUUGAUGGCAGCUGUCAGGACCGUUACUUUGAGAAAAUUAGAGUGUUUCAAGCAGGCUUGUUGCCUUGAAUA
rnacentral:rRNA from 1 species